rnacentral:rRNA from 1 species
UGGGGAAUAUUGCACAAUGGGCGCAAGCCUGAUGCAGCCAUGCCGCGUGUAUGAAGAAGGCCUUCGGGUUGUAAAGUACUUUCAGUCGGGAGGAAGGUGGUAAGGUUAAUAACCUUAUCAAUUGACGUGACCGACAGAAGAAGCACCGGCUAACUCCGUGCCAGCAGCCGCGGUAAUACGGAGGGUGCAAGCGUUAAUCGGAAUUACUGGGCGUAAAGCGCACGCAGGCGGUUGAUUGAGUCAGAUGUGAAAUCCCCGGGCUUAACCCGGGAAUUGCAUCUGAUACUGGUCAGCUAGAGUCUUGUAGAGGGGGGUAGAAUUCCAUGUGUAGCGGUGAAAUGCGUAGAGAUGUGGAGGAAUACCGGUGGCGAAGGCGGCCCCCUGGACAAAGACUGACGCUCAGGUGCGAAAGCGUGGGGAGCAAACAGG